rnacentral:rRNA from 2 species
UGGGUAACCUGCCCAUAAGACUGGGAUAACUCCGGGAAACCGGGGCUAAUACCGGAUAACAUUUUGAACUGCAUGGUUCGAAAUUGAAAGGCGGCUUCGGCUGUCACUUAUGGAUGGACCCGCGUCGCAUUAGCUAGUUGGUGAGGUAACGGCUCACCAAGGCAACGAUGCGUAGCCGACCUGAGAGGGUGAUCGGCCACACUGGGACUGAGACACGGCCCAGACUCCUACGGGAGGCAGCAGUAGGGAAUCUUCCGCAAUGGACGAAAGUCUGACGGAGCAACGCCGCGUGAGUGAUGAAGGCUUUCGGGUCGUAAAACUCUGUUGUUAGGGAAGAACAAGUGCUAGUUGAAUAAGCUGGCACCUUGACGGUACCUAACCAGAAAGCCACGGCUAACUACGUGCCAGCAGCCGCGGUAAUACGUAGGUGGCAAGCGUUAUCCGGAAUUAUUGGGCGUAAAGCGCGCGCAGGUGGUUUCUUAAGUCUGAUGUGAAAGCCCACGGCUCAACCGUGGAGGGUCAUUGGAAACUGGGAGACUUGAGUGCAGAAGAGGAAAGUGGAAUUCCAUGUGUAGCGGUG